rnacentral:rRNA from 1 species
AUUGAACGCUGGCGGCAGGCUUAACACAUGCAAGUCGAGCGGAGAUGAGGUGCUUGCACCUUAUCUUAGCGGCGGACGGGUGAGUAAUGCUUAGGAAUCUGCCUAUUAGUGGGGGACAACAUUCCGAAAGGAAUGCUAAUACCGCAUACGCCCUACGGGGGAAAGCAGGGGAUCUUCGGACCUUGCGCUAAUAGAUGAGCCUGAGUCGGAUUAGCUAGUUGGUGGGGUAAAGGCCUACCAAGGCGACGAUCUGUAGCGGGUCUGAGAGGAUGAUCCGCCACACUGGGACUGAGACACGGCCCAGAGUCCGACGGGAGGCAGCAGUGGGGAAUAUUGGACAAUGGGCGGAAGCCUGAUCCAGCCAUGCCGCGUGUGUGAAGAAGGCCUUUUGGUUGUAAAGCACUUUAAGCGAGGAGGAGGCUACCUGGAUUAAUACUCUAGGAUAGUGGACGUUACUCGCAGAAUAAGCACUGGCUAACUCUGUGCCAGCCGCCGCCGUAAUAC